rnacentral:rRNA from 1 species
CAGGCUUAACACAUGCAAGUCGAGGGGCAGCAUGGUCUUAGCUUGCUAAGGCCGAUGGCGACCGGCGCACGGGUGAGUAACACGUAUCCAACCUGCCGUCUACUCUUGGACAGCCUUCUGAAAGGAAGAUUAAUACAAGAUGGCAUCAUGAGUCCGCAUGUUCACAUGAUUAAAGGUAUUCCGGUAGACGAUGGGGAUGCGUUCCAUUAGAUAGUAGGCGGGGUAACGGCCCACCUAGUCUUCGAUGGAUAGGGGUUCUGAGAGGAAGGUCCCCCACAUUGGAACUGAGACACGGUCCAAACUCCUACGGGAGGCAGCAGUGAGGAAUAUUGGUCAAUGGGCGAGAGCCUGAACCAGCCAAGUAGCGUGAAGGAUGACUGCCCUAUGGGUUGUAAACUUCUUUUAUAAAGGAAUAAAGUCGGGUAUGGAUACCCGUUUGCAUGUACUUUAUGAAUAAGGAUCGGCUAACUCCGUGCCAGCAGCCGCGGUAAUACGGAGGAUCCGAGCGUUAUCCGGAUUUAUUGGGUUUAAAGGGAGCGUAGAUGGAUGUUUAAGUCAGUUGUGAAAGUUUGCGGCUCAACCGUAAAAUUGCAGUUGAUACUGGAUAUCUUGAGUGCAGUUGAGGCAGGCGGAAUUCGUGGUGUAGCGGUGAAAUGCUUAGAUAUCACGAAGAACUCCGAUUGCGAAGGCAGCCUGCUAAGCUGCAACUGACAUUGAGGCUCGAAAGUGUGGGUAUCAAACAGGAUUAGAUACCCUGGUAGUCCACACGGUAAACGAUGAAUACUCGCUGUUUGCGAUAUACUGCAAGCGGCCAAGCGGAAGCGUUAAGUAUUCCACCUGGGGAGUACGCCGGCAACGGUGAAACUCAAAGGAAUUGACGGGGGCCCGCACAAGCGGAGGAACAUGUGGUUUAAUUCGAUGAUACGCGAGGAACCUUACCCGGGCUUAAAUUGCAGAUGAAUUACGGUGAAAGCCGUAAGCCGCAAGGCAUCUGUGAAGGUGCUGCAUGGUUGUCGUCAGCUCGUGCCGUGAGGUGUCGGCUUAAGUGCCAUAACGAGCGCAACCCUUGUUGUCAGUUACUAACAGGUUCCGCUGAGGACUCUGACAAGACUGCCAUCGUAAGAUGUGAGGAAGGUGGGGAUGACGUCAAAUCAGCACGGCCCUUACGUCCGGGGCUACACACGUGUUACAAUGGGGGGUACAGAGGGUCGCUACCACGCGAGUGGAUGCCAAUCCCCAAAACCUCUCUCAGUUCGGACUGGAGUCUGCAACCCGACUCCACGAAGCUGGAUUCGCUAGUAAUCGCGCAUCAGCCACGGCGCGGUGAAUACGUUCCCGGGCCUUGUACACACCGCCCGUCAAGCCAUGGGAGCCGGGGGUACCUGAAGUGCGUAACCGCGAGGAGCGCCCUAGGGUAAAACUGGUGACUGGGGCUAAGUCGUA